GUGCUCACUUCGGCAGCACAUAUACUAAAAUUGGAACAAUACAGCCAUUAGCGUGGCCCCUGUACAAGGAUGCCACACAAAUUCGUGAAGUGUUCUCUAUAUAU